GACGAACGCUGGCGGCGUGCUUAACACAUGCAAGUCGAACGGAAAGGCCUGCUUUCCCUUGUGGAUUGCGGGUACUCGAGUGGCGAACGGGUGAGUAACACGUGAGUGAUCUGCCCCCAACUUGGGUAUAAGCCUGGGAAACUGGGUCUAAUUCCCGAUAGGACUGCAGGGUGGUGCCUGUGGUGGAACACGAUUUUCUAGUGGUUGGGGAUGAGCUCGCGGCCUAUCAGCUUGUUGGGGGGGUAAUGGCCUACCACGGCGGCGACGGGUAGCCGGCCUGGGAGGGUGGACGGCCGCAUUUGGACUGGGAUACGGCCCAGACUCCUACGGGAGGCAGCAGUGGUGAAUAUGGCACAGUGGGCGGAAGCCUGAUGCAGCGACGCCGCGUGGGGGAGUGCGGGCUUCGGGUUGUAAACUCCUUGCGACCGCGAGGAAGCCACCUGGUUGGAAGGGUGGUGACGGUAGUGGUAGAAGAAGCACCGGCUAACUACGUG
rnacentral:rRNA from 1 species